rnacentral:lncRNA from 1 species
UGUAUGCUUAGGCAGUGCUGAGCUAUGCAAAGUAGAAUGGUGUGAUAGUAGUGCUGUACAUUUUGCAGUAAUAUCCAUGCAUAACAACACUCUUCCUCAAUAUCAUUUAGAAUCAAACUACUACUGUAAUGCUAAUACAUGAUGUAGGAGAUUUAGCAAGAGAGGAAGAAGGAAAUUCUCUACAGCUGUGAUGGAUGGAGACAAGAGAUAUUAAUCCUGUAAAGGAGUCAUAAUGUUUAACUCCUCUGAGUGUCUUGAAGAUUGAUUUUAUGUGCAUUUCCAUACUGUCCACUAUUUUAUCUGAGGGCAUGCAGCACUGUAACAGGACUCUAUUUAAGUGCAGUGAGUCAUGGAGUGACAGAUAUUGACACGGUAUUGUGGUGUGGCACAAUUGUUCCUCAGUUCAGUGAUUAAUGAUUUCUUUCCUCUUAGGUCUAAUGAAUGUUCCAAGAGGUGUACCCCUGAGCAUAGUUGUUUAAUGAUCGAAAAGCUGAGUCUUUUGGUCAUUUUUAUUACUAUUAAUAUUACUAUUUGAAAUGUUUUAUCGGUACCUCUUCUAAAUCUACAUAAACUUUUCUCAGGUUACAAGAUAGAUUAAUGGCAUAUUUUGACUGUUUGAAGUCUUACAAUUGUAUUUUUAUGUAUUCACAUAAUGAUUUUUCUGACACAAUAUUUUCUGGCUAGCAUCCAUCUCAUUUAACUCUCAGAAAGUGUUUUUUGUUGGUUCUGUUAGCUACUUAAAAACUGACAUUCCCACUGUCCUCCUUCCCAGGAGCAAAUACCCAGCUGUAUACCAUGGGCAGCACCUCAUAAAGUGCUCUUACUGCAAGGACAGUUAAUCACCAAAAAACAAAGGUUGAGAUUACCCUUAGCAGAAAGGAAUGAUGGAUAUUCUUUUCUAGUUUUGCAGGAGGAAGAACUCUUGGUGAUCCAAAAUUGCUGGAUAAAGCCCUUUGGACUCUCUUCUAACUCACAAACUCAUGAGAAAGAUCCAAUCUGUACCCUACCUGCCUGCGUGCUGGCUCUUUUCCUGUGGCCUCAAGAGGUUUUGCAGAUACUGAGGCUGCAAUCAGUCACUUACAAAGAAAGCACAGUCUCAGGCAUGAGCCAGAUUCCCAGAGAAGGCAACAUCCUUCAAGUAUUGCAUCCACUGCUGUGAUUCCUUUGCAGUUUUAUAUGUAUCUUGAGUAACUUUUCUUAACUUCACGGUUUCUGGCUUUCAACUGUCAGAACCAGCAAAUAUUAGAUUAAUUCUGAUUUAAUUGGAUGGCAUCUAAGGGCCUUACCCCUCUCUGGCACCUCAUUUUGCUCCUGUGCCAUGAUCUCCCAGGCAGAGGUAUUGCAGGCAUAUUGCUGCACUGUGUGGUUGUACUACAAGGGGACUGGAAUGGAAGUAUCUCCAUAACACUUCAGUGGUAGUGCUCUCUGAUGACAGCACCACAGGGAAACCUCAGCAUGAGGAGACAGUACAGCAGCUGAGAGCCUAUUACCUGUUGGCAGACAAGGCAGGAUACUUUGAUCAGACUCCCACUGGCUUAUGCCACCAGUGUGUGUAGGAACACGAGGUGAACUGAGAGCUUUUUCCCAAGAGCUAUUUUGUCAGAAGCUAGCUACUGAAGAAAUAUCUGAAAAUGUGUUGCUUUCUUAUUAGAUUAUGGGAUCUAAUUAAACAGAUUUUAUUCCAUCUGAUAAUGACAGAGAGCUUUUCUUUUUCACUGAAUUCCUUUUCAAGAUCUGUGAGCAGUAGUAAAAAAAUAAUUAUAGAAGAAAACUGAUGGAAUUGGGUAUGCUAUAUUUAAUAAUAGAAAUGUUAUUCUGAUUUGGGGUGACUUCAGGGAGCAAAUCCACUUCUGCUGGUGUAAUCCAUGGCUUUGGUCUACCUAGAUUCCCCUGAAAAUGCUUUGACUUUUUUCCUAACAGUCAAUCUUCACCACUACUACUUAUUACUACUUAUUUCCUGCUUAUUUCAGUUGCCUCUGCUUAUCAGUCAGCCAUGGUCUUUUACUUUGAGACACCAGAUUUUGCUAGCUUGCUUCAAAGAUAUUUUUGGGGUGAUUUCUUUGGUUUCUUUGCCUUUUUUAUAUCUAUUUCUCUCUUAAAGUCUCUAUAAAAUUCAUCAUUUAAAAUAACAAAUAAAUCUUUAUGACUUACAUGUUUUCUUCUCCUUCCACUCUCCCUUGCUUUGUUUUGUUUUGACUUAUAAUGAUCUGAGUUUUGUAAUUGAGUUGUUUCUCUUUUUUAAAACAUAAGAGGUGGGUUUUAUUUUGUUGUCGUCUCAUUCUUUCAGACUUCUCAGAAUUCAUUCAUUUCCUCUAAGACACUCUAAUCUUGCUCUAAUGCUUAGCGUGCAGAUACUACAAUGAGAUUAUUUUGUGUAUGUUCUUAUAUUUAUAGGGCCUGUAUUAUCACAGGAAGCAACCAUCAACAUUGUCCAGAGAUUUCGAUAAAAAGCCCAUGCUUCUGCACAAAGAUUGUCUCAUGAAUCAGAGGAUCAUGUCCUUUGCAUGUAUGAUAUGGUUCUUAGAACAGUUAUAUAGGUAAGGCAUUUGCAUGGUGGGAAACUUCUUUAAUGGCAAAAGUCUCUGUAUGCCAGCAGAUACCAGGCUUCAAGAGUUUUAUUAAAUUAAUAAGCUUUAACAUUGUUGAAAGAUUCUGAAAAGUAAUUGUAAUCAUAACAUAAUUUUGGUUUAAAUUUUCAAGCCUUCUAUUUUCUACUGUAUUCAUGACAGAACUAAAUUGGCAACAAAUCAAAUAAAUGAUGUUAGAAUUAUUAAUAUAAAUCUAGAAACCUGAACAAAUUACACUGAACAUUCUGGUGCUGAGUUAGUUUUCUCACCCAUCAGCAAAAAGAAAACAGGAUUUGACUAUAGGGAUAAGAAGAAAAAAAGACAAUGAGGAGAGGAACCACACAUCAUGAGAUGCCCAACUGGACCUUCCUUUAAGGAGAUUGAGAGCUAUUCUAAGAGCUAUUUACAGACCUCUACUCUGGUUUUCUUAAUAAAGACACUGACCACCUUGCUUUCCAGUUCCUGCCCAGUUUGGGAUUAUUAAAUCACAAAAGUAUGUCCUUCUCCUGCUGGUAGCCACAGCGGUCGGCUCUUCUCCUGGUCACUUCCCUGCCUCAAGCUGCUGCUCUAGUGGCUGCUCUAGCCAGCUGUCCUACUCCUGCUCCUGCCUCUUGCUAUAGCAGCCCCAGUACUGCUGCCUCAUCUGGAUGACAGUUGUCACUCUGCUAUCAAUGUCUCCCACUUCAGCAAAGAGUAUGUGGCUGUGCAUGUGCACGUUUGUACUCAAGUACACUCCUGCUUUUUCAACUUGGAUUCUCAUCUAGCAGUAGCCCCUUAAAGUCUGCUAUGCAUUUUCUUUUGACUUCUGUGCUUUACUUCUGUAAAACCUACUGAGAUCUUUUACUAUCAGCAUUCUUAACUCAAGCACUUAAUCCAUACCAUUACAUGGUUAUCUGUUUCCUCCAUUAUGUGGAUGGUUACUCUACUCUACUCAAGUAGAAAGCCUUCUGAAUGAAUAAACGCUUACGUGCAAAUUAAACUUGUACUUCUGUACCUUGUUCCUUUCUACCUGUCUUAUUCUCUCCACCAAAUAUCAAUGGAGAGCUCUUCAUCUCAGAACUUCCAUCUCCCACACAGGAGCCAGGGAGCUGCUCUCUCAAUCACGUCCUGGUGCCAAAGCCCAUAUCUGUUUGACAGAACAAAAAGUGGUCUUGUCAUAUGCUAGGGAUGUAUUCUCUGUUCUCUUCAGUACACUGCUAAUUGUUAAAAACCUUGAAGAAAAUUGUAAUAAUUCAGAUGUAAGUUUUGCUCAUAUUACUGUUCUCAGAGAGAGCAAAAAAGUAAAAUUUCAAGGGAAAGGGGUGUUUGGGAUAAAAAACUGCGAUUUUCAAGACCCAUGUUUCUGAAAAAUGUAUUUCUUCUGUCAGAGUUCUAGGACUUAAGAUGAAAGAUCGUUACUAACUAGGAUAAGUGCCUUUUUAUAUAAAGAAAUGUUUUUAGAGUAACUAGAAGAUAACAGCAAAAAUAAAACAGGAGUGUACCUAUUGACUUAAGUUGUAUAGCUUGCUCAUGGGAAAGGGCUCCUUUAGUCUGUGAAACCUACAUUUCAUGUUUCUAUAGCAGAAUCAGAGGACAGAAAAGAAGAAACUAGGAGCAGCAGAAGAGUCAAGAAUCCUACAGUCACAUCUUGGGUUGAAAGGGACCUUAAAACCCAUCUAGUUCCAACCCAUUGCUAUGGGCAGGGUUGCCUCCCUCUAGAUCAGGUUGCCCAGGGUCUAGUUCAAUCUGGCCUUGAGCACCUCCAAGGAUGAGGCAUCCUCAGCUUCUCUGGGUAGCCUGUGCCAGUGCCUCACCACCCUUACCACGAAGGAUUUCUUCCUUAUAUCUAAUCUAAAUAUACCCUUUCAGUGUAAAACCAUUACCCCUUGUCCUAUCACUACAUCAUGGUUGUCAGGGUAUUCAUAAUUGUGGAAAAGCCUCUUCCUGAAUUAAUUUCUCCAUAUGCUCCAUCCACAAUAUACAGGAAGGCGCUUGAUUUAAGCUUUGGGAAGGGAGGCUGGUAUGCCAGUGCUAGGGGUGAAAUAAAGCAUGGUGUACAGGAUCAACACUACCCCUGUCUGGUUCUUCUUAAAAAGUCUAUAUUUAUCCUAGCUUCUCUCAAUUUUACCAAGUUCAUUGGCUCCUAUAAAAUGCUGAGUCUGCAAGAGACACUGUCAAGUUCCAGUUACUUUUAUAGUCUGAGAUGGGGGUUUCCACUGAGAGAGUAUACGAAGAUGAAAGAGGAAGAAUUGCUAUGGGAAGAGGUUUUAUUAAAAAUACAGCUGAAGGUUUUUUCAUCAUAUCUUUGAGUAAACAUUAGUGGGAUAGUGACAGAAGAUGUGUCACUGGAUUUAUUUACUGUAAGACAGUUCUGCCGAGUAAAGUACCAUAUGAAAGCAGCAUGUGUUUUUUUAAUAUAAUGUAAAGAGUAACUUAUUACAGUGACUUUAUUUUCUUCUUGUUUGAUGGAUUGUUGCCAUUUAUUACCACCGAGUAAUGAAACCUAUACUGUGUUUUACACGACAGUAGAAUGUCUUGGGCAGCAUUAAUCAGCCUCACGAAGUGUUCAAGAGAAAUAAUGAAAGAAAGAACUGGCAUGCAAGGCAAGUGCCUUCCAGUUUGUCUCCUGCAACCUUCCUUCCUCUGAAACAUUCAUCAUCUUCCUCUUAGUUUGCCAGGAUCUAAAAUCAGGCAGAUAUUUUCUUAUUAAUAUUGAGGCAGGGCACUGAGAGCUGCCAUCACAUCUUUCUUUAGCUGAGAGAAAAUUACCUCAGCUUAAGCUCAACUACCUCCUGCUAUUUGUAAGUCUAGGGCUUCACAAGCUGCGUUACUUGGCUUGUAUGCUAUGUGCACCUUGAUGAUUCUCCAUGUUUUAUCAUAACUGAUUGUAUACAUAUUCUUAAAGCACGAGAGAGUCUGCAGGCUGGGAUAGAAUCUCAGUCCCAAAUGGAUCAGAAUCUAGGAGGUAAGAGGUGUGCUAUUGUAUCUAAAGGGAUAAGAGACAGCCAAGAAAUACAAGAUACAAAAACAAGGCUACCAAGGAGCUGAGUUCAUGGAGCAAUGAAUGUAUUUACUGAGGACUUCACAUCCUUUUGGAUAGAAUAUCCGGGGACUGGUUGUCAGCAUACAAGAUGAAUCAAAAUGUGAAUCCUUUCAAGAGUUUGCAUAGAAACCAUGGAAUCUAAUGAGUCAGAAAUAGAGAUGCUCAAGGCACUCGAUUUUGUACUGUCAGAUCUUUUCUUUCUCAGAACUCUCAAGAGUUUUUGUUAUCUAUCAGUUCAACAUAAGGAACGUUUUUACUGCUAAGGAACAGGUAAAGCAAUUUGCUGGCAGAGGCUUUGCCUCUUGUUCUGUCCAGAUAAUGCCAGGGCAUAGAUCACUCUGAGCAAUUACAAUCAUCAGUAACAGAAUUUAGAAAUCACACUUUUGCUGUUAAACACUUGCCAUUACAUUAUAUGACUUCUACAAUGCAGAUCUUUCAUUUGGUACAACAUCAACAUCUUCCUCCUUAGCUAUGACUCCUGCCCUUUCCUCGUCAGUCUGGUUCACCAAAUUGCUAGUUGAUGAACAAAUACUCUGUGCAUGACAACAGAAGGUUAUGCCUUACUGUGUGUUCAUUACAGCCCUUAACCAGUAGCUGAAAGCGUAGUAAAAAAGAUAUCAAGAAAUUUUGUUUUCUGAC